rnacentral:misc_RNA from 1 species
UACGUAGGAACCGAGCGUUGUCCGGAUUGACUGGGCGUAAAGGGCGAGUAGGUGGCUUGUUAAGUCUCAUGUGAAAUCUCCCGGCUCAACUGGGAGGGGUCAUGGGAAACUGGCAAGCUAGAGGGCAGCAGAGGGAAGCGGAAUUCCCGGAGUAGCGGUGAAAUGCGUAGAUACCGGGAGGAACACCAGUGGCGAAGGCGGCUUCCUGGGCUGUUCCUGACACUGAGGCGCGAAAGCGUGGGGAGCAAACCGG